rnacentral:rRNA from 1 species
UACAGAGGUCCCGAGCGUUGUUCGGAUUCAUUGGGCGUAAAGGGUGCGUAGGUGGCGCUGUAAGUGGGGUGUGAAAUCCCGGGGCUUAACUCCGGAACUGCAUUCCAUACUGCGGUGCUUGAGGACUGGAGAGGAGACUGGAAUUUACGGUGUAGCAGUGAAAUGCGUAGAUAUCGUAAGGAAGACCAGUGGCGAAGGCGGGUCUCUGGACAGUUCCUGACGCUGAGGCACGAAGGUCAGGGGAGCAAACGGG